ensembl:snoRNA
GCAGACUCACUCUGCACCUGGCCACAGUCCUGGGCAGGUAAUUUUUCUGUCUACCACAAGAAUGUUCCAGGGCACUGUGACUACUUUGACCUUUCAAGGGCAAUGCAACAACCCUGAUACAUGGGG